rnacentral:lncRNA from 1 species
GUUACCCAUCGUUAACCACAGUCUGAAAAUACUAAAUGAAAAUAUUAAAUUCCAGAAAUAAUACGAUCCAGCCAUAUUUGGAGUCUGCUCUACACUGGAACAUCUUUUUUUUUUUUUUUUUAGAUGGAGUUUUGCUCUUGUCGCCCCGGCUGGAGUGCAGUGGUGCGACCUCAGCGAUCUCAGCGAUCUCAGCGAUCUCAGCUCACUACAACCUCUGCCUCUUGGAUUCAAGCAGUUCUCCUGCCUCAACCACCUGAGUAGCUGGGAUUACAGGCGCC